rnacentral:rRNA from 1 species
UACGUAGGUGACAAGCGUUGUCCGGAUUUACUGGGCGUAAAGAGCGCGCAGGCGGUCGUUCAAGUCGAGUGUGAAAGCCCCCGGCUCAACUGGGGAGGGUCAUUCGAUACUGAUCGACUCGAAGGCAGGAAAGGGAAGUGGAAUUCCCGGUGUAGUGGUGAAAUGCGUAGAUAUCGGGAGGAACACCAGUGGCGAAGGCGACUUCCUGGCCUGUUCUUGACGCUGAGGCGCGAAAGCUAGGGGAGCAAACGGG